AAUAGAUACCCGGGUAGUCCACGCCCUAAACGAUGCUCACUAGGUGUUGGGGAAGCGACUCCUUGGUACCGUAGCUAACGCGUGAAGUGAGCCGCCUGGGGAGUACGGCCGCAAGGUUAAAACUCAAAGGAAUUGACGGGGACCCGCACAAGCGGUGGAUGAUGUGGAUUAAUUCGAUGCAACGCGAACAACCUUACCUACCCUUGACAUGUCCGGAAGCCUGCUGAAAGGCGGGGGUGCUCGAAAGAGAACCGGAACACAGGUGCUGCAUGGCUGUCGUCAGCUCGUGUCGUGAGAUGUUGGGUUAAGUCCCGCAACGAGCGCAACCCUUGUCCCUAGUUGCUACGCAAGGGCACUCUAGGGAGACUGCCGGUGACAAACCGGGAGGAAGGUGGGGAUGACGUCAAGUCCUCAUGGCCCUUAGUGGGUAGGGCUUCACACGUCAUACAAUGGACGGUACAGAGGGUUGCCAACCCGGCGAGGGGGAGCCAAUCCCAGAAAGCCGUUCGUAGUCCGGAUCGCAGUCUGCAACUCGACUGCGUGAAGUCGG
rnacentral:rRNA from 1 species